ACGUAGGGUGCGAGCGUUAAUCGGAAUUAAUCGGCGUAAAGCGUGCGCAGGCGGUUAUAUAAGUCAGAUGUGAAAACCCCGGGCUCAAACUGGGAACUGCAUUUGAGACUGUAUGAAUAGAGUGUGGCAGAGGGGGGAGGAAUUCCAAGGGUAGCAGUGAAAUGCGUAGAGAUGUGGAGGAACACCGAUGGCGAAGGCAGCGCGCUGGGCCAAUACAGACGCUCAUGCACGAAAGCGUGGGGAGCAAACAG
rnacentral:rRNA from 1 species